UACGUAGGGCGCAAGCGUUGUCCGGAAUCAUUGGGCGUAAAGAGCUCGUAGGCGGCCUGUUGCGUCCGCUGUGAAAUCCCGGGGCUUAACCCCGGGCGUGCAGUGGAUACGGGCUGGCUGGAGGCAGGCAGGGGAGAACGGAAUUCCCGGUGUAGCGGUGAAAUUCGUAGAUAUCGGGAGGAACACCGGUGGCGAAGGCGGCGAUCUGGGUCGAUACUGACGCUGAGGUGCGAAAGCGUGGGGAGCAAACAGG
rnacentral:rRNA from 1 species